CUUGAAUAACCCGAAUGGCUCAAUCAAAAACCAGAUGAAACAUGAAGUUUUCUGGCGUGGUGGCUUAUUAUAUAAUUAAAAAGAUAAAGAUGAAAAGAUAAGAAAUAGUUUAUUCAAGUAGGCAUAUUACAAUGCGCUUAUGAACAUCAAAUAAACCUUUACCGGCUCCAACCGUACACCUCUGCCCCGAGAAGAUUUAAAGUAGCUUAGACAGGAAGAUUAAAUGCCGAGCAGUAGUACAAAGUACAAGUGUCCAAAUGCGAAGACUGAAGACCGAGCUCCGCCUAGGAGCUAUAGCUCAGAGCGUCCGACGGGUCGAAGAGAUAAUACCUACAGGAUGGCCAAAAAAUAAGUACAUUCCCGUAGCCGGGGCGGUUUUAGAAUUAUACUGAGCUUUACAACUUUUACUAUGGGACCAACCCCGAAAUAGCGAAAAAAAAAGUGUAUCCUCAUAUAGAAAACAGACCAGCCAAAAUGUAUGAAACAGCCAAAUUUUUCCUCGCGAUUUCGGAGUUGCACGUUGGCAACGGGAAUACACUUAGUUAAUUUUUUGGCCACCGUGUAUAGUGCUUUUUUUAAAACACGUAACAAUAGUAGCCUAAUCAAUCAGUACUACAAGUACCAAUGCGGCUGUGUGCCAGAUACAGCCUAUAGUCGCAUUUCUUGUCGUCAUUCCGACUCGCGCUUGAAGCUAAAAGCACGCUUCUUCGGGACGCUUCGGGGUUUCGGCCUUAUGCGGAUAUCGGCCUAGGGCCUUCGCAAUAGCUGUCUACAUCACGUUUCACUUAAACCAUUGCGGCUGUGUCCCUAAAAAACCUAAACCGCAUUUUUGUUCUUAAAUCCGACUCACGCUUGACUGUAGAUUUCUAAUAGGUUUUCCUGUCAUCUUUAGGUAAAGAACUAUUUUGUGUUUUUUUUUCCGAAUUUCAGACCCUGUAGUUUCGGAGAUAGAGGGGGGGAAUGGUCAUUUUUUGUCUAUUUUCUUGAAUAACUUCUAAACUUUUUAUCAUAAAUUUAUAAAAAAAAUAUAUUUGAGAUUCUCACAAUGAGCUCUUUCGUUUGAUAUGUAACACGAUAUAGUUUGCAAAACUAGGUUUUUAAAUUUUAUCUUUAACCCCCUAAAAGUAGCCCUUAUGUUUAAAAUUCAUUUGUUGACGUUACAUAUCCGUCUUUGGGUCACAGACUUACAUAUGUGUACCAAAUUUCAACCUAAUUGGUCCAGUGAUUCGGAGCAAAUUGGCUGUGACAGACGGACGGACAGACAGACGCACGAGUGAUCCUAUAAGGGUUCCGUUUUUUCCUUUUGAGGUACGGAACCCUAAAAAGUAAGAAAUGUUGCCAUUUUUUAAUAUCGCGUCUUGUAUUUAUGUACAAAUAAGUAAAUAAAAGUACUUUUUUAAAUAGUAGGAGUAAAAUUACUAAUGAAUAAAUUAUCUUAGCGUGAUUAUUUAUCAAAAGGAAUUUAUAAUUUUUCAAACAAAUUGUUGCAGUGGCAACAUUGUCUUACUUUUUUUGGUCUUGAAUUACGUUUUGCAGUAUACUUAAAGUCUAUUCCAAUAGAACUUGCAAACUAUGUAAACAAACAACGCAAUUUUGAUUUAUCACUGUUUCUCUUUGAAUUUUCACACCACCUCAUCAAAUACCAUUGAAACCAUAUACAUAUACACUAUUGAAACGAUCCGUUCCGUAAAAUACAUAAAUAUGUAACUGUAUCUUGGAUAUUCAAUUAAAAGUUUAAAAUGGUUUCAUAAGUUAGGUUAAUAGGACAUGAUGGAAUGGCGGUUUUGUUUCUUUUAAAUUCUACAAUUGUCUAUGAUGGGUAGUGUUGUGACUAAAGUUUGUAAUAUAAACCCGCUACACACUACCCAACCCACGCUCUGUACCUACCGCCACGGUUAUAAAAUACAUCAAUACAUGAUUCUUAAGUACUAAUUUGUCUUCUGAUCGUGAUUAUACAAAUUAAAAAUAAGUAACUACUUGAUUUUUACUUUUGGUAUUUUAUUAUUCGAUAUGGUUUGACAUUAGUAAAGUAGUAUGAGUCUUGCCCAUCACUAGUAAAUUGAUCAUUCAGAGACAAUUUCAAUAUGGCGGUUUGUUUACAUAGUUAGCAAGUUCUAUUGAAAUAGACUUUAUAGACGCCAACGCCCAGGAGACGAGACGGGAACGUGCACAUAAUAAUAUUUAGGAUAAAUACAGAAUCUGUAUCCUUAAUCAAGACGAGUAUGUAUAGAAGUUAGCGUAGGAUAUACCGAAGUACUAAGUGACUUCAACUUAGGGAUUAAUUGGGUGAAUCAACUUUUUCUUGUCACUAGUUGCCAUGGUUACGGUCUCCUGGGUCACUCUUAAAAUACUAGUUAUUUCGUAUUUAAAUGAACCAAACUUGAAUUUUUUGGUAGUUACUAGGCCUUUCAGAGGCGUAGCUAGAGGAUAUGGCGCCAGGGGCAGGCACCAAAUUUGCGCCCCCCCCCCCACACAAACGAAAUGAACUUCAAAAGGGUUACUUUUUUUUAACUAAAAUUUACUUUUAAUUUAGACAAUGCAGUGUAUAUGUGUUUUUUUAAUACAUCGGCAGGCGUGGCUCACUCCGCGAUGUCGUCGCUUUGCUACAGGCAGUUAAAAGUCCAUCCGUUCGACCCCAAUUUUGGGGUUUGCCAUAAGCCGCGCGUGGCGCUGUCGCCACCUAGCGGCCAUAUCUGCGCUGAUCGUGACAGACGCGUUUUGUUAGAGAGUGAGUCUUCUGUAACUAGUACUAUUAUUUAUUCUGUGACAUCGGUGGGUAACAUGUUUACGACCCACCUGAUGGUAAGUGGUCACCGCAUCAUAUGGACGUCUACACUCCAAAAGAGUUACAAGCGCGUUGCCGACCAUUUUAAAACUUAUGCACUUUUUUGGAGAUCUCCAUACUGUAGCCUCUCGAGAAAAAGGAACUUAAUCAAUUUAUUGUGGAAUGAGCUCCCUUUUUUCGACAAAUUUCCUCCCGACCACUGUGGAAGGAAUUCCUCUUAAACCGCACAGUACGCGACCAUUUAGGUUCUAGGGUGUGAGGAUAAACACUCUGCCUAUCCUAAUACGGCGAGCGGUGCAGUGAUGGCAAGCUGUCAUCGUUGGCAACUAGGCAGCAUGUCAAACAAUUCUUCAGACAACAGCUCAUUGUACUUACCUACGAGCGGUAGAGAACAUCCUGUAUACAGGGUGGCUAAAAAAUAACUGUAUUCCCGUUGCCAGGGAGGUUCUGGGAUUAUAAUGAGCAACUUUUACUAUGGGACCAACCCCUCAGUCGCGAAAAAAAAAUUUGGCUGGUUCAUACAUUUUGGUUGGUCCAUUUUCUAUGGGAGGGUAAACUUUUUUUUUUGAGAUUUCGGGGUUGGUCCCGUAGUAAAAGUUGCUCAGUAUAAUCCCAAAACCUCCCUGGCAACGGGAAUGUAGUUAUUUUUAACCAGCCUAUAUAGGAAUCCCCGUACCUACUGUCGUCCGAUAGACAACAUGUCACAGAUAUGCAGCAGCAGCUAUUGGAGUAGGUUCCGUCUACUACGGCUCAUAUAUAUGCGCCUGCCGGACAAAGGGCUAGGGAUCCAUUUGCAUAGGUAGUCUCUUGGACUGUCCAUAAAAUGGUAACUUCCCGACAGGAGACCCCUGAGGGAAAAGACGCGCUAACACGGAACACAGCUCUGAACUCUCUGAAGCACUCGGCCCGCUCGCCUUAUAAAAUGAAAGCAUAGCAACUCCUACCGAAUAUCCCUCUGCUUGAUAGAAGUUUCUGGCAUAGAGUAUUCGCACUGAAGGAUGGUGGGCGGUAGGGCGCUACCGUCGUCUUUUAAGGUCGAGUUCUAGGCAAAAAAGAGUACCUAAAAGAUCGGCUUUCUCUUUGCUUUUCUGAGCUGUGGGCCAGAUUACCAGGAUGAGGGGUAGUCUUUUGCCCAUUUUGGCGCCCCCCCCUUGGACGGCGCCCGGGGCACUUGCCCCCUCCAACCCCCCCCUAGUUACGCCUCUGAGGCCUUUCCAUAAUGGGACAUCUACUAAGCACGUUUGUAGAACAUGGUACAGCAGCUCUUCUAACAAGCUACUAUUGUCUCCUGGCUGAUGGGACAGAAUAACAACAAGAAAUAGUUGAUCGACCCAAUUAUUCUAUCCUAACGACUGGAAGAAAUUCAUCAAUUUCUAAAACAAAAACAGGAUUCAAUUACUGUACUAUUAGAAAUAGGAUGGGAGGGAUGUAGUGCAUAUACUUGGAAACAUUCGACCUAUGCCGCUGUGGCCCGGUGGCCGAAUGGCACAGGCAUCUGCCACUAUAGCAGAGGACGCUGGUUCGAUUCCAGCCUGGGGCACUGGAGGCUUUGAUCACUUUUUCUUAGUGUAUGACAUGUAUUACAGUUAAUUGACUUUAAACCUUAUUCCUACGAGAUACUAACAUAGGUCUACCACAUUGUCAGUUCAGUGUGAUGCUGUUAGUGCUAUGAAACAGUUUAUUAUAGCUUAAGAGAUAUGUUAUGUCGAUAAUAUUAUAUUCAAUUGUCAGAUUUAUAACGAACUGAUUAACCUUUUCGACGCCGCGUCAAACACAUAAGCAGUCACUCGGACGCCACGUCACCGAAGUGUCAAAACUGAAAUUGAACUUUAUGCAUAAGCACCUAGGUCUAUGUUGCUCUGUGGUCUAUGACCGAUUAAUCCGUCUUUGGCGUUGGACCUGCGGUGCGGAUAUAUCGGUCAUUGGCGUCCAAAAGGUUAACACGCUUUAUUACAAAUGUGCUGGUUGCAACAAGUUUCCGCGUCUGAUAAAUUUCAUAGGAAUUAAAGUUUCUAUCUUGGGAAUGUCUGCAUGAGAUGAUUCCAUUGAUGUGGAAAGUUUAGCUGUAUUGAAAACGUGGCACAUUAGUAGUUAAGCUCUUGGGCUUAUAUUAUGUGUGUGAUGAUUUGAUGAAUAGUAUUUUGAUUGUUUUUAACAUGGACAUAUAUAUUACUUCGUAAGGACGCGGCUAACGAGCACUAAAAAGGGGGCCGCUACAUGGGUGUGAUAUUUGCAUUUAUCACACCACGGCGCUCAGUCGUGUGGCGAAUUGCGCAGUAGAAAGUUGUCACGCAGCAUAACACAAAAAUGCCUUAUUGCGUUGUAAAAGGGUGCAAAAACCAUUAUAGGAAGUAUAAGAAAAAAAAUGGGAUCUCAUAUAAUCGGUAAGUAAUUUCCAAUUAGGUUUAUUUAUUGCUUAAAACCAAUUUUAAACGAUAAUUUUAUUUCAUUCUCACUCGCAACUGAUGUUCGCUCGUACGUCAUAGCGCUAAUACAUUAACCUUGUAAGGACGUCAUUUCUCUUUGACAGUUAUUAUGAAGUAGAAAUGCAUAAUGCGUAAUUUGUAUAGGUAAAUUUACUUAAAUAUGAUUAGUUGAUUACCUACCGGAUAUAAUUACCGAAAUUAAAGUAAGUACCUAUUGUCUGUCUUACAGAGUUUGUUCCCGUUUCUUUUACAUAAUUAUUAAAAACGUUCAAAAUAACAAGAUCAAGUAUUUGUUAUUGUUUUAUUCGUUGACUUAGGUACCUAGUAUAUUAAUUCUUGUCAGGUAUAAGUUUUUAAUUAACUGUAGGUAAAACUCAAAAAAAAAAAAAACAGGUGAGCGCUAGAAACAAAGCGCGCAUUUUCAAACACCGAUUAAUUCACAUCGCUGUAUUUAUUACUUUCCAUUACCUAGGUACUUAUAUUUUUUCAUCAUUAUUGUGGACAGGUGGCACGCUCUCGUUUCGGAGGCCAAGCUUCUCUUUGGAUCACUGAGCCAAAAUAGUUAGUUUGUAUUGCUGUAUAGAUUCCUUCUUUUUUACUCUACCUGUUUGGCAAGCAAGAAACUGACAGAAAUAGUUGUUCGCCGCAUUUUACGCGCGAAAGCUCCUCCCGAGCUUAUCGAAUUGUACUGCUGUAGCUAGUAGCUCGGCCAACUUGUCGACCUUGACAAAGCCGGCUUACACAGGGCGGCACACCGUACGGCGCGAAUGUUUAAAAUAUUGCAUUGCCGCCUGAGACGAUAAUGACAUCACGAAAUAACGUAGAAGAACGGAAACUUAGAAGGAUAAGUUCGCCCAUUUUAAUACAAUAAAUAUCGUUUUGAUUAACCAUAAACUUAUUCGACGCUCCUCUGAUAUAAACCGCGAAUAAACUUAACAAGCCUUGUACGCCCGUACAAAGUUAUCGCGAGAGUCGAGCUCACACAGUUGUACGCAGUGUGUAACAGAUGGCGCUUUUUUGCUGAUAUGAUGAUCGCAACAGGCAAUUCGUAUGCAUGCGCUCAUCCAUAGUUUAUAUCUAUGGUUUUUAAUGUUUACUUUUAGGGUGCGAAAAUAUUAUUUGUUGUAAAUAUAUGUGUCGGGGAUGUCGGCAUAUUUAUUUGUGCAUCAUUAUACAUAUAUCAACCCUUUUCCAGACAGCACCAAUAUAGAGUCAGACCAAGAUAACUCAGCAGACGUAGAUAAACGUCAAACUUCUAUGAAAUUAUGAUAUUUAAAAUAACACUUGUACAGUCUGUGCUAUCAAAUUCGCUGCCGAGUUAGCUUGGUCUUACUCUAAAAUAGAAGACAUAUCGCUGGCCCAAUAUUACAGGGUUCUAUGUUUCACUAUUAU